rnacentral:rRNA from 1 species
AUUGAACGCUGGCGGCAGGCCUAACACAUGCAAGUCGAACGAGUAGCGGACGGGUGAGUGAUGUCUUGGAAACUGCCUGAUGGAGGGGGAUAACGACUGGAAACGGUAGAUAAUACCGCAUACCAUCGGAUGUGCCCCGGUGUGAUUAGCUAGUAGGUGUGGUAAAGGCUCACCUAGGCGACGAUCCCUAGCUGGUCUGAGAGGAUGACCAGCCACACUGGAACUGAGACACGGUCCAGACUCCUACGGGAGGCAGCAGUGGGGAAUAUUGCACAAUGGGCGCAAGCCUGACGCAGCCAUGCCGCGUGGAUGAAGAAGGCCUUCGGGUUGUAAAGUACUUGCAGCGGGGAGGCGUUACCCGCAGAAGAAGCAACGGCUAACUCCGUGCCAGCAGCCGCGGUAAUUC